rnacentral:rRNA from 1 species
UUGCCAAUUCAUAAGCGGAGGAAAAGAAACCAACCGGGAUUGCCUUAGUAACGGCGAGUGAAGCGGCAAAAGCUCAAAUUUGAAAUCUGGUACCUUCGGUGCCCGAGUUGUAAUUUGGAGAGGGCAACUUUGGGGCCGUUCCUUGUCUAUGUUCCUUGGAACAGGACGUCAUAGAGGGUGAGAAUCCCGUGUGGCGAGGAGUGCGGUUCUUUGUAAAGUGCCUUCGAAGAGUCGAGUUGUUUGGGAAUGCAGCUCUAAGUGGGUGGUAAAUUCCAUCUAAAGCUAAAUAUUGGCGAGAGACCGAUAGCGAACAAGUACAGUGAUGGAAAGAUGAAAAGAACUUUGAAAAGAGAGUGAAAAAGUACGUGAAAUUGUUGAAAGGGAAGGGCAUUUGAUCAGACAUGGUGUUUUGUGCCCUCUGCUCCUUGUGGGUAGGGGAAUCUCGCAUUUCACUGGGCCAGCAUCAGUUUUGGUGGCAGGAUAAAUCCAUAGGAAUGUAGCUUGCCUCGGUAAGUAUUAUAGCCUGUGGGAAUACUGCCAGCUGGGACUGAGGACUGCGACGUAAGUCAAGGAUGCUGGCAUAAUGGUUAUAUGCCGCCCGUCUUGACACGGACAA